rnacentral:rRNA from 1 species
UGCAGUCGNNCGAACCUUCGGGUUAGUGGCAAACGGGUGAGUAAUAAAUAAGUAACCUGCCUUUAAGUCUGGGAUAACUUUCCGAAAGGAAAGCUAAUACCGGAUACACUCAAUUUAUCAUAAGAUUUAUUGAGGAAAGUUUUUUCGCUUAUAGAGGGGCUUAUUUCUGAUUAGUUUGUUGGUGGGGUAAUGGCCUACCAAGACUACGAUCAGUAGCUGGUCUGAGAGGACGAACAGUCACACUGGAACUGAGACACGGUCCAGACUCCUACGGGAGGCAGCAGUGAGGAAUAUUGCGCAAUGGGCGAAAGCCUGACGCAGCGACGCCACGUGAGCGAUGAAGUCUUUCGGGAUGUAAAGCUCUGUCAAGAGGAACGAUUAUGACGGUACCUCUAAAGGAAGCCCCGGCUAACUACGUGCCAGCAGCCGCGGUAAUACGUAGGGGGCAAGCGUUAUCCGGAUUUAUUGGGCAUAAAGCGCGCGUAGGCGGUAUAUUAAGUCAGAUGUUAAAUACUUCAGCUCAACUGAAGCCCGCAUUUGAAACUAAUAUACUAGAGUUUAGUAGAGGAAAGCGGAACUCACAGUGUAGCGGUGAAAUGCGUAGAUAUUGUGAGGAACACCAGUUGCGAAGGCGGCUUUCUGGACUAAUACUGACGCUGANGUGCGAAAGCGUGGGGAGCGAACGGGAUUAGAUACCCCGGUAGUCCACGCCGUAAACUUUGUUCACUAGGUGUUGGAGGUAUCGACCCCUUCAGUGCCACAGAUAAUUCGUUAAGUGAACCGCCNGGGAAGUACGACCGCAAGGUUAAAACUCAAAGGAAUUGACGGGGGCCCGCACAAGCAGUGGANCAUGUGNUUUNAUUCGA